CGGACCUCGGCGAGGGGCCCCGCCCGCCAGUUGGUCGCCUCCUGCAGCACCCUGGUGGCCCAGGGUCGGCGGGGUGGCGGCUCCGGGGAUCCCGGGCGCAGCCUACACCUGGGACAAUGAGCAGGAACCCAGGUUGCCUGACCACCCGUGGUCUAUGCCUGCCUGUCUGCCUGCCUGGACUCCUUUCUCCGACAGGGAGUGGUGAGAAUAGAACUCAAGGGCCUAUCUUCCAGCAGCUUUCUGAGGAAGGAACGGGUAUGGAGGACAUUUGAGACCUGGGAGCCUGCAGAUGUCGCUAUUCUACCCUCAUCCUUCUCGGAUUUAUCACGUGCUUGGCUGGAGUGCUGGUCCCUGUGGCGGCCAGAAGAGGGCAUCAGAUCCCCGGGAACCGGAAUUACAGACAAGACCUUGUGAGCUGCCAUUGGAGACAGGGAGGGUGUGGUGGUUUGAAUAAGAAUGGCCCCCAUAGAAUCAAGCUGAAUGCUUAAGGAGUGGCAUUAGAAGAUGUGGCCUUGUUGGAGCAGGGGUAGCCUUGUUGGAGGACGUGUCUCUCUGCGGGUAGGCUUUGCGGUUUCAAAACUCCAAGCCAGGCCCAGUGGCUCUCUUUCUUUCUGCUGCCUUUGGAUCAGGAUGUAGAACUGUCAGCUCCUUCUCCAGCACCACGUCUGCCUGCAUGCCACCAUGCUUCCUGCCAUGAU